ensembl:lncRNA
GCCACCAGGCGGCCCCCUAAAAUAUAUUCCUUAGUAGUUAUUUCAGUGAAGAUCUGUUGAAUGUUAGAGCUGAUAAGGGUGUUGUCGAUCUUCUCAGCCUCUAGCCUUCAUUUUACAGAGGAAAAUCUGAGUUCCCUGUGCAGGGCUGGGACACGAUUGUGUCUAGAGGCGUUAAAAGGAUGGAUCAUCUGGGAAAUCAGAAAGUCAACCCUCUUUCUGAUGCUUGCUCUUGGAACACAGCCACCACGUUGGGAGGAAGCCCAGGCCACGUGGAGAGGUCCCAAGCAGCACUGCUGUUACUUCUACUAGUGAUGCUACUAUGACUCAAAUACUGUUGCUACGGUGUCUAUUGCUACUGCUGAGAAAAAUAAGAUAAUUUUGAUAGCUAAUGUUGAGUACGUAUCUACUAUAUAGAUUUAAGCCUUUAACUUAUACUAAAUCAUUCACUUCUCAUAGGAGCCUACUAUGGGUUGAAUUGUGUCCCUCUAAAUUUAUAUGUUGAAGUCCUAACCCCCAGCACUUCAGAAUGUGACUGUAUUUGGAGAUACGGUCUUUAAAGAGGUAAAAUGAGGUCAUUAGGGUGGGCCCUAAUUCAAAAUGAUUGGUGUCCUUAUAAGAAGAGGAAAUUAGGACACAGACGUGAAAUGAAUGAAGUCACAUUUCUGUCAUGGCUGUGGAUGCCAAGACCUGGGCUAGAGUGUUUUCUCUCUCUUUCUCUCUCCUCUCAUCUGUUCCUCGCAUCUAGGAUAGGACUCUGAUGCCCAUGGCAAAGCUACAUAAUAAGAGGAGGCUGGGUUCCUGAAUAACUGUGUGGAGCAGAGCCACUCUGUCCACUCACAUUGAAUGAAGGCAAGGAAUAAAUCCUUCUGGGUUAAACCAAUGGAUUUUGGGGGUUGUUUUUUCACUGCUGUUAGCCUACCCUUACGAAUAUAGAUUAUCAUUGGAAUAAACCAUUCAAACUAUUCCACUGCUGGUCCACAGUAAUUGGUUUAGGUUGGGUACAUGCCCCCAUCAAAGCCAAUGAGAUAUGAAGAGCUAAUUUCUGAGGAUUCUGGCAAAAGGAAGACUCUUACUAGAACUACUAGAACUGAUUCCUUUCUCCCACCCUACUGCCAACAUGCUGAGAAAUGCAAGCUCCAAAUCUACUGUAGCUUUGUGCUGUCAGGAGACCACUACGUGGAGGAAGGGGCCAGUACUGCAGAAGGCAGAGAGACGGGGAAGCCAGGUCCUUGAUGACAUCAUUUGUUCUGCUGGACCAAGCCUUGCCAGAUCUACCUGUGGACCUUCUCAGUUAUGUGAGACAAUAAGGUCACAUCAUCAUUUUAGUCUAUUUGGGCUUUCUGCUCCUAGAAACAUAAAGCAGCAUUACUGAGCACCAGCUUCCUACAUAGCACCCAUUAUGUCCUUUUUUCUUCCUAAUAGAACCUCAGUUUUUUUCAGGUGCCCAGACCUCAUGUAGAGCAUAUGACUCAGAGGAAUCCCUUCAGCUUCUAGAAUGAAUCUAACUGGACUAAGGGUUAUCUCAUCCCCUUUGUUUGUGAUUGGUUUAUGAAAAGUCAUGUGACCCAGUUCUGGCCAAUGAUAUGUGAUGAGAGGGUCAUUGGAGUCCUCUGGAGAAGUCUGCUCUGAAGAGCAAGCUAUUCUCUCUCUCCAUAUUUGAAUGAAGGCGGAUAAAUCCACAAUUGUCCUCUGGCCGGCCUUGAAAAUGAAGCCAACCAUGUGAAUAGCAAAGCCAAGGAUUGUGGAGAACCUAAGCUCCAGAUAAUAAUAUUAGGAUGCUGGAUCAACUAACUACUAUUAAAUUUCCUAUUAAAUGAGCUUAUGCAUUCCUUAAUUUAAAAAGCCAGUUUAGAGUUUAUUGAAAUAGCUGAAAGUUAAUGGCUGCAUAAAGCAUCCAGUAGUUCCGAAUGCCUCCAAUAGAGUAAAUAAUCCCUACCCUCUGCCCGCAAAGCAAUGACAGCCAAAAUUUGCUUUAUCCCUUCUAUCUCUGUCUCGUUAGGCUAUAAAUGGCCAAAUGGUUUCCUCUCAUCUGAAGGGCCAUGGGAAGAACUCUGUGCAACCUUUCCAAACCAGUCCCGAAAUAGAAAAUGUUGGAAGUGGUAUUUCAGCCUUAAAGUGGUCUGUGCUCUACGACACAGACUAAGUGAGGAUUAUUUGACAAUAUUUGCAGCAGGAGGGGGAAGAGUUGGCAUAUUCCUGGCCUCUUGAGUGAGUCAUAGGACUGGAAAAGAGCUCAGCUCCUCUCUUUUCUUGUCCAAGAUUGCUCUUUGAUGGUAUUGAAGGGAUUUGAUGACUGAUGGUGAAAAUGAAAUUAGUUGGUAGUCGUAGCCAGAUAAUUAUGUUCUGAACUCCAGGAGAAAUAGACUUUGAGG